AGUGAACGCUGGCGGUAGGCCUAACACAUGCAAGUCGAACGGCAGCACAGUAAGAGCUUGCUCUUACGGGUGGCGAGUGGCGGACGGGUGAGGAAUACAUCGUAAUCUACUUUUUCGUGGGGGAUAACGUAGGGAAACUUACGCUAAUACCGCAUACGACCUACGGUUGAAAGCAUGGGAUCUUCGGACCUUGCGCGGAUGAAUGAGCCGAUGUCGGAUUAGCUAGUGGGCGGGGUAAAGGCCCACCAAGGCGACGAUCCGUAGCUGGUCUGAGAGGAUGAUAAGCCACCCUGGAACUGAGACACGGUCCAGACUACUACGGGAGGCAGCAGUGGGGAAUAUUGGACAAUGGGGGCAAGCCUGAUCCAGCCAUACCGCGUGGGUGAAGAAGGCCUCCGGGUUGUAAAGCCCUUUUGUUGGGAGAGAAAAGCAGCAGGUUAAUACCCCGCUGUUCUGACGGUACCCAAAGAAUAAGCACCGGCUAACUUCGUG
rnacentral:rRNA from 1 species